UAGCAAUAGGUCUCCGAUUCAUGAAUUGC
rnacentral:sRNA from 1 species